rnacentral:rRNA from 1 species
GAUGAACGCUGGCGGCGUGCCUAAUACAUGCAAGUCGAGCGAACAGACGAGGAGCUUGCUCCUCUGACGUUAGCGGCGGACGGGUGAGUAACACGUGGAUAACCUACCUAUAAGACUGGGAUAACUUCGGGAAACCGUAGCUAAUACCGUAUAAUAUAUUGAACCGCAUGGUUCAAUAGUGAAAGACGGUUUUGCUGUCACUUAUAGAUGGAUCCGCGCCGCAUUAGCUAGUUGGUAAGGUAACGGCUUACCAAGGCGACGAUGCGUAGCCGACCUGAGAGGGUGAUAGGCCACACGGGAACUGAGACACGGUCCAGACGCCUACGGGAGGCAGCAGUAGGGAAUCUGCCGCAAUGGGCGAAAGCUUGACGGAGCAACGCCGCGUGAGUGAUGAAGGUCUUCGGAUAGUAAAACGCUGUUAUUGGGGAAAAACAAAUGUGUAAGUAACAAUGCACGUCGUGACGGUACCUAAUGAGAAAGCCACGGCUAACUACGUG